rnacentral:lncRNA from 1 species
AAUUACUAAAACAAUGGGCUCCUUAAUACAAUCAUAUCUUCUCCAAUAAACCUCAAAGCAGUGUAACCAAUUUGACGAGGCUAUUAGCUCAAUUUACAAACAUUGACACUCACCAAAGCCUGAGCUACGUCCACCAUGUUGCUGAGGUUGAAGAGGAAGAAAAACUUCACAGAAAUCUGAAAUUCUAGAUGCUCGCCAUCAACCCACUCAAGAUCAUCCAAUCAUUACCUACUACACUAACCAUGAACUCUCGGCCCUAUUGAAAAGCCACCCAAAUACAAGUUUUGUGUUUCAAUAUCACCUAGAAAAAAAAUUUCAAACACAAACAAAUUUUGAUAGACACAAUUGACGUAGCGCGGACAAACCACUAGUUAAAAAUAGUUUUGGGUGUAAGCGACGGAAAUGGAGAAAGAAAACAAAAGUUGGAUAAAAAGUUUAGCGCCAAUUGGUAAAAGUUUGGAACUGUUUGAUGAAUUGCAAUCAAACGAUCACAUUUUUACUAGUAUCAACUUAAUAAUUAUAUAAGAGACAUUACUAAUGAUGUUGGUUUUUUUAUUUUGUUUUCAUUGUUUUAAUUCUUAUAUAUUUUUGUGACUUUUUAAAUGGUUUUUAUUUCAGUUUUUUUAUUCAUUUUGUUUUCAUUUGUUUGAAUUCUUAUAUAUUUUUGUGACUUUUUAAAAGGUUUUUAUUUCAGUUUUAUAUUGAAUUUACGUCACAUAGUUUACGUUUACAUAAUUUAUGUUUUAAAAAAUAACUUCUCUUAAAAAAAUAAAUUAAGAAAACCCUAAUUAAACUGA